GUCCUCCCGACCGAUGCACCAUG
rnacentral:miRNA from 1 species